UGAUAGGGAACCUCGAGUGCCUGUAAACGCAGGCUGUUUAGGUGUCUAAAGUGCACCUGGAGAAAGGGUCGGGCAAGACCGGUGCCAGCCGCCGCGGUAAUACCGGCGACUCGAGUGGUGACCACUUUUAUUGGGCUUAAAGCGUUCGUAGCUGGGUUGUUAAGUCUCUUGGGAAAUCUGGCGGCUUAACCGUCAGGCGUCUAAGGGAUACUGGCAAUCUUGGAACCGGGAGAGGUGAGGGGUACUUCGGGGGUAGGAGUGAAAUCCUGUAAUCCUCGAGGGACCACCUGUGGCGAAGGCGCCUCACCAGAACGGCUUCGACAGUGAGGGACGAAAGCUGGGGGAGCAAACCGGAUUAGAUACCCGGGUAGUCCCAGCUGUAAACUAUGCGCGUUAGGUGUAUCGGUGACCACGAGUUACCGAGGUGCCGAAGGGAAACCGUGAAACGUGCCGCCUGGGAAGUACGGUCGCAAGGCUGAAACUUAA
rnacentral:rRNA from 1 species